UGGUAAAAAUAUAAAUACGAUAACUCUGGAUAACCUCCUGGGUGAAAUGCUCACUGAUAUCCGUGCGCUGCGGAUCAUUUCCUUAUUGCGUUACCAAAUAUCAACAAGCAUUUCUGGCGCCGUUGCCGGGGAGAAAGACGGUUUGCUGAGAUAACUUUGAGUCUUGCUAUUAUCUUGUAUUAUACUUUUAUACUUUUAUACUUUUAUUCUUUUAUCUUUUUAUUUUUUCUAUCUUUAUGGAUAACUUAAAUUUCAUACCUAUUAUUAAAUUCUUUGCACCUUCGGAGACCAGCCAUAGACCAUGAGAGUCAACACGUCCUGCCCCUAAUUAUGAUCUGUGUCCGGAGUUGAUUGCAAUAGGUCAAAACCAACCCUUUUCUAUAGCUGGGGUCCUAUCUUUUAAUCAAGAAGAUAAUGCACUUUUAGCUACACCUAGGGAAUCUGUUAAUCUUUCUAUAAAUUCUGGUUUAGACCUAGCCCUACAAGACCAUGUUUUUUCUCGAUAUUUUCACAUUGGUCUUAAUCAUAUAACCUUUGGUAGAGUCUUUCUUUCUUUAUCUAUUAGUAAAGGAAGGUAUGUCUUCAUUUGUGGACAUCCUUCUUGUACUAGUCUUCAUAGAAAAAUCUUAGAGAUAGAGAAGGAAUCAUCUCCCAGACGAGGAAAGGAAGUUUCAAUAGCCAAUUUCCAAAGAUUUCAAUCCAAUGAUUCGGCUAUCCAACCCAUCCUUGAGCCUAAUAAUUUCUCCUAUGCUCUUGAACCUCCCGAUGAUCCUAUAAAUCUCUCUAGACAUCCCAUGCAUAAAAGUCACCAAGACCACAAGGAGGAUCGAGAAGAGCAACAUCGAUGGCUAGAGGGCAUUAAAAAUCCAUGUGCUAUCACCAUUGAAUGGAUGGAUAAAAUAAACUUAAGAGACAAUCCUAGAGGAAUUUUAAACAUUCAUGAAGAAUCAUCCUUGG
rnacentral:lncRNA from 1 species